CAAUGAAGGAACUAUAGUAAUGUGCACAAAAAUUGAAUUGAGUCUCUUGCCUGCCCUCUCUGAUGUCAUUUGGCUUUGAUUUGGGGACAUGGUUUCGCAGCAAAACA